rnacentral:rRNA from 1 species
UUAGAGUUUGAUCCUGGCUCAGGAUGAACGCUAGCGGCAGGCUUAACACAUGCAAGUCGAGGGGCAGCAUGUCCAGCAAUGGAUGAUGGCGACCGGCGGAAGGGUGCGUAACGCGUGAGCAACAUGCCCUAUACAGGGAGAUACACCAGGGAAACUUGGUCUAAUAUCCCAUAGCAUUCAUUGAAGGCAUCUUUAAUGAAUUAAAGCUUCGGUGGUAUAGGAUUGGCUCGCGUGACAUUAGCCAGAUGGUGAGGUAACGGCUCACCAUAGCAAUGAUGUCUAGGGGUUUUGAGAGGAACGCCCCCCACACUGGGACUGAGACACGGCCCAGACUCCUACGGGAGGCAGCAGUGAGGAAUAUUGGACAAUGGAUGGAAAUCUGAUCCAGCCAUGCCGCGUGCAGGAAGACGGCCUUAUGGGUUGUAAACUGCUUUUAUACGGGAGCAAUAAGGGUUACGAGUAAUCCGAUGAGAGUACUGUAUGAAUAAGGAUCGGCUAACUCCGUGCCAGCAGCCGCGGUAAUACGGAGGAUCCGAGCGUUAUCCGGAAUUAUUGGGUUUAAAGGGUGCGUAGGCGGCCAUUUAAGUCAGCGGUGAAAUUUUGCAGCUUAACUGUAACAGUGCCGUUGAUACUGUUUGGCUAGGAUUUGGUUGUAGUGUGCGGAAUGUGUGGUGUAGCGGUGAAAUGCUUAGAUAUCACACAGAACACCGAUUGCGAAGGCAGCACACUAAGUCAUUAUUGACGCUGAGGCACGAAAGUGUGGGGAUCAAACAGGAUUAGAUACCCUGGUAGUCCACACUGUAAACGAUAUAACUCGCUGUCGGCGAUACACAGUC